GAACGCUGGCGGCGUGCCUAAUACAUGGAAGUCGAACGAGUUCUCGUUGAUGAUCGGUGCUUGCACCGAGAUUCAACAUGGAACGAGUGGCGGACGGGUGAGUAACACGUGGGUAACCUGCCCUUAAGUGGGGGAUAACAUUUGGAAACAGAUGCUAAUACCGCAUAGAUCCAAGAACCGCAUGGUUCUUGGCUGAAAGAUGGCGUAAGCUAUCGCUUUUGGAUGGACCCGCGGCGUAUUAGCUAGUUGGUGAGGUAAUGGCUCACCAAGGCGAUGAUACGUAGCCGAACUGAGAGGUUGAUCGGCCACAUUGGGACUGAGACACGGCCCAAACUCCUACGGGAGGCAGCAGUAGGGAAUCUUCCACAAUGGACGCAAGUCUGAUGGAGCAACGCCGCGUGAGUGAAGAAGGCUUUCGGGUCGUAAAACUCUGUUGUUGGAGAAGAAUGGUCGGCAGAGUAACUGUUGUCGGCGUGACGGUAUCCAACCAGAAAGCCACGGCUAACUACGUGCCAGCAGCCGCGGUAAUACGUAGGUGGCAAGCGUUAUCCGGAUUUAUUGGGCGUAAAGCGAGCGCAGGCGGUUUUUUAAGUCUGAUGUGAAAGCCCUCGGCUUAACCGAGGAAGCGCAUCGGAAACUGGGAAACUUGAGUGCAGAAGAGGACAGUGGAACUCCAUGUGUAGCGGUGAAAUGCGUAGAUAUAUGGAAGAACACCAGUGGCGAAGGCGGCUGUCUGGUCUGUAACUGACGCUGAGGCUCGAAAGCAUGGGUAGCGAACAGGAUUAGAUACCCUGGUAGUCCAUGCCGUAAACGAUGAAUGCUAGGUGUUGGAGGGUUUCCGCUCUUCAGUGCCGCAGCUAACGCAUUAAGCAUUCCGCCUGGGGAGUACGACCGCAAGUUGAAACUCAAAGGAAUUGACGGGGGCCCGCACAAGCGGUGGAGCAUGUGUUUAAAUUCGAAGCAACGCGAAGAACCUUACCAGGUCUUGACAUCUUUUGAUCACCUGAGAGAUCAGGUUUCCCUUUCGGGGG
rnacentral:rRNA from 2 species